rnacentral:lncRNA from 1 species
UUUUUUUUGGAACUAGCUUCUUCAUUCAUUCAGAAUCCAGAUUACAAUCCUCUUGUUCUUGUAGAGGUCGCAACAAGAAGCUAGGGGGUUCUCUAUCCAAACUUCAGUACUACUAGAACUAGCAUGCUUAGCACAAACAUGGGCGACAACAUUAGACGAUGAACCAUAUUAAAAGAGGUAAAAGACGUCACGACUUCCUGAAUCUCACGCAAAAUCGUUGCAAUCUCCGAUCUGUGGUUGUGUUCGGCCAGUCCUCCAGCUCUGAAGAAAACUGAGGGCAACAACCACGGAAUGCUGGAACUGCAGGUAAAUAUUUGACACGACGAGCACAGUCACGGCUUCAUAUCAUAACAGUCACGCCGUCCAACCACCUGGCGAGAAUCAGAACCACAAUGCCACACAGCAAAUCACAACCAACCAGAUCAGGCAUCUCAUUCUUUCCAACUAAACCACCUGUAGGGAACUAUCAAAACGAUGAGCCGCCAAGAUGCUUUGCUCUCUGCCAGCAAUCUGUCGACCGCUGAAGGGCCAGAAGAGCUAGCUGAAGCACGUAAAAGGACCGACAAAAAAUGCAGGAAAAAAAAGUCAGUGACUCAGUUCGCAAAGAAUGAGAAUUGCAGUAGACUGCAGCAAGGAACACAGAAGCGGGACAAAACAUGAAACUAUUAUUUCCAAAGACGCAAAGCUCAUCUAUGCAACCAAACCGACUAAACACAGCAAAAUUACAACCGAACCGUUCAUAUUCUUCACAACCAGAAACUAAACUCAGGUCCCAUAUUAGCAACUUCGUUACAUGAAGGUAGCAAGCAGGUAGGAAAAGCAAAAGGCAACUCAUGUCCCAACUUAGCAUGAAUCCUGGCGUCCGGAGGCACACCAUUUCACAUUUUAUUCUCUGCAUAGACAAGCAGCGGGGCCGUUCCACGACCGCAAAGGCCACGGGAAGGAACCAUGGAGCGGAGAUGACGCUCUACUGGGUCUUGAACAUGUGGCGGAUCAGGUCAACAACGCGGUUGCUGUAGCCCCACUCGUUGUCGUACCAGGAGACGAGCUUGACGAAGUUGUCGUUCAGAGCGAUUCCAGCCUUGGCGUCGAAGAUGCUCGACCUAAGUGGAAACA